GCCACGGCCAUACCACCCUGAGCGGGCCCGAUCUCGUCUGAUCUCGGAAGCCAAGCAGGGUCGGGCCUGGUCAGUACUUGGACGGGAGACCGCCUGGGAAUACCAGGUGCUGUAAGCU
ensembl:rRNA 5S_rRNA 5S ribosomal RNA